AGUCGAGCGGCAACAGGGGAUAACGUUUCUUGUUAUUCUGUCUGGCAAGCGGCGAACGGGUGAGUAAAAUCUGGGGAUCUGCCCAACGGAGGGGGAUAACUAUUGGAAACGAUAGCUAAUACCGCAUAAAGUCGGUUUGACCAAAGUAGGGGAUCUCUUAUUAAAAUAAGUUUUUUGUUAUUUUUAAAAAAGACCUUAUGCCUUUGGAUGAACCCAGAUAGGAUUAGCUAGUAGGCGGGGUAAUAGCCCACCUAGGCUACGAUCCUUAGCUGGUCUGAGAGGAUGACCAGCCACACUGGAACUGAGACACGGUCCAGACUCCUACGGGAGGCAGCAGUGGGGAAUAUUGCACAAUGGGGGAAACCCUGAUGCAGCUAUACCGUGUGUGUGAAGAAGGCCUUCGGGUUGUAAAGCACUUUCAAUGGGGAAGAAUUUAAUAUUGCUAAUAUCAAUAUUAAUUGACGUUACCCAUGUAAGAAGCACCGGCUAACUCCGUGCCAGCAGCCGCGGUAAUACGGAGGGUGCAAGCGUUAAUCGGAAUUACUGGGCGUAAAGCGUACGCAGGUGGUGUAUAAAGUCAGAUGUGAAAUCCCUGAGCUUAACUUAGGAACUGCAUUUGAAACUAAUAAACUAGAGUCUCGUAGAGGGGGGUAGAAUUCCAGGUGUAGCGGUGAAAUGCGUAGAGAUCUGGAGGAAUACCAGUGGCGAAGGCGGCCCCCUGGACGGUGACUGACACUCAAGUACGAAAGCAUGGGGAGCAAACAGGAUUAGACAGGAUUAGAUACCCUGGUAGUCCAUGCUGUAAACGAUGUCGAUUUGAAGGUUGUAGACUUUGAGCUGUGACUUUCGAAGCUAACGCGUUAAAUCGACCGCCUGGGGAGUACGACCGCAAGGUUAAAACUCAAAUGAAUUGACGGGGGCCCGCACAAGCGGUGGAGCAUGUGGUUUAAUUCGAUGCAACACGAAGAACCUUACCUACUCUUGACAUCCAAAGAAUCUUAUAGAAAUAUGAGAGUGCCUUCGGGAACUUUGAGACAGGUGCUGCAUGGCUGUCGUCAGCUCGUGUUGUGAAAUGUUGGGUUAAGUCCCGCAACGAGCGCAACCCUUAUCCUUUGUUGCCAACGAGUAAAGUCGGGAACUCAAAGGAGACUGCCGGUGAUAAGCCGGAGGAAGGUGAGGAUGACGUCAAGUCAUCAUGGCCCUUAUGAGUAGGGCUACAAACGUGCUACAAUGGCGUAUACAAAGAGCAGCAAACUCGCGAGAGCCAGCGAACCUCAUCAAAGUACGUCUUAGUCCGGAUUGGAGUCUGCAACUCGACUCCAUGAAGUCGGAAUCGCUAGUAAUCGUGGAUCAGAAUGUCACGGUGAAUACGUUCCCGGGCCUUGUACACACCGCCCGUCACACCAUGGAAGUGGGUUGCAAAAGAAGUGAGUAGUCUAACC
rnacentral:rRNA from 1 species